rnacentral:rRNA from 1 species
UUUCCAGACUCCUACGGGAGGCAGCAGUGAGGAAUAUUGGUCAAUGGACGCAAGUCUGAACCAGCCAUGCCGCGUGCAGGAAGAAGGUGCUAUGCAUUGUAAACUGCUUUUAUACGGGGGUAAUUACAGAUACGUGUAUCUGGAUGAAAGUACCGUAUGAAUAAGGAUCGGCUAACUCCGUGCCAGCAGCCGCGGUAAUACGGAGGAUCCGAGCGUUAUCCGGAUUUAUUGGGUUUAAAGGGUGCGUAGGCGGUCAGGUAAGUUAGAGGUGAAAGCUCGAUGCUCAACAUCGAAACUGCCUCUGAUACUGUCUGACUAGAGUGUAGUUGCGGAAGGCGGAAUGUGUGGUGUAGCGGUGAAAUGCUUAGAUAUCACGCAGAACUCCGAUUGCGAAGGCAGCAUACCGGCGCCCAACUGACGCUGAAGCACGAAAGCGUGGGUAUCGAACAGGAUUAGAUACCCGAGUAAU